UACGGGGGGUGCGAGCGUUGUCCGGAAUCACUGGGCGUAAAGGGCGCGUAGGUGGUUUGAUAAGGGUGUGGUGAAAGCCCGGGGCUCAACCCUGGGUCUGCCGUGCCGACUGUCAAACUCGAGGGCUGUAGAGGCAGACGGAAUUCCGGGUGUAGCGGUGGAAUGCGUAGAGAUCCGGAGGAAGACCGGUGGCGAAGGCGGUCUGCUGGGCAGUUUCUGACACUGAGGCGCGACAGCGUGGGGAGCAAACAGG
rnacentral:rRNA from 1 species